UGUGCGGUGCCUGUGGUUGUUGCCUUGGCUGGUAAGCCUGGUAUACACUACUGUGACACCCUAUUUCACCUCACCGUCUCUUUAUGGAAAGCUUCAGGAGGGGUUGUGAUAUGAAGAACUAUUUAGAAAUUGAUAGGGCGAGGUUUGAAAAGAGGGGGAAAAAAAUGUCCAAGAAGGAAUCAGUAGCAGCUUAACACAGAAUCUGGGAAACAACAUCCAAGUUUAGGGAGCUUUUCAAUGGUGAAACUUCAGCCCUAUGCCUUGCCAAUGAUGUACAGUUUACAUACUCAAACCACAGAGAGAAGGCAAAGAAAAUGCUUCAAACAACACCAAUAAUAGAAUUAGCAGAAAGGCACAAUGUUGCACAUGACUAGGCUAAUGCUCCUCCUGCUGAUACCAGUUUUCACCAAUACAAAGGUGAAACUCACGAAGGAAAAGGUAAGAUUCAUGCGCAUUCACCAACAGUGCUAAUAGAGGUCAUGAAGAGCAUCAACGCCUCAAACUCAAGGCCAUCACUUUUGCAUUCACAAGCUUCAAGCUUCUUUAGAGGGUCUAAUCCAAACAACUCUUUCUAGGGUUUGAACUUCAAUUGUUACCCUAGUCAGCAUGGGGGAUUUCCAAGGUUUGAUAAGCCCAAAUAUGAGCCAAACACACGUCUUCAACAAUGGUAAACUUCUGAAACAACAGACACAACAUACUAGUACACACCCUUUAAAUUUAGUUAUCAUGUCUUACAAAGAGGCGGUUGGCACGUUAAACCUAUGGCUCCAUUUCCUGUGCAAAUGUCAAAGUCACUCUCAGCAGAGUUGAUGCCUUCUAGCAACAACAGACUUAUGGAGGAGAUGUAGAUGAGAAAUAGUCAUUGUAACCAGCCACAAGUAGGAGUAGUGAUUUGCGAAUGGAAACAAGCACGAGAUGAUGAAGAUGAUAAUCCAGAUAAUGAUGAUGAAGACAUAGACUUUGAGCUUUGACUGUGAGUUUGGUAGAAUGUAGAUUAUAUAAGAGGGCUCUUGGCUAUUUCAAGGGCAUUGACUCUCCUUUACCCACUGCACCAAGGUAGCAUAUUGUUGGUGUGGCACUAAGAGUGGAAAUCAAGUGAAGAAAUUUAGGGAAUCCAAGGUAGCAGCUGCUGCUAGUACUGGAAAACUGGAAUUGUUGAGGAACUUGGUAGCAGACCUACCUAUUGGUUACUCGAAGAAUAAUUUUGAGUAUUUGCCAAAGAAGUUUGAUGUGGUGUACGAUGCAGUAGGGCAAAGAGGGCAUUGAAGGUUGUUAAAGAAGAGGUCAUUGUUCAAUAAAACGGAAAGGAAGUGAUCAUCUACAUUCUAUCGAGAUCAAAGUCGAAGCUCCAAGUCUAGCUCUUCAUCAUCAUUACCUUGAUUAUCAACUUCAUCAUUUUGUGCCUGUUCCUUUCCCGAGUGACUACUCCCGCUUGUGGCUGUUACAAUCACGAUUUCUCAUCCACAUCUCCUCCAUAUCUAAAUCUACUGUUUGAAGGAGUCAACUCAACUAAGAGUGAUUUUGGCUACUGCAUGGGAAAUGGACCCAUAGGGUUUAACGUUCCAACCCCCUUUUGUAAGUCAUGGUAACUAAAAGGGUGUGAAAUAGUACGUUGUGGUCGUUGGUUCAGUACUUGUCCGUUGUUGAAGACUUUUGUCUAGCUCAUAUUUGGUCUCAACAAGCCUUGGAAAUCCCCUUUGCUGGCAUGGGGCACGAAAUCCAAACCAUACAGAGUUGUUUCGAUUAGGCCAUCUAGAGGUGCUUGAAACUUGUGAGUACAAAAAUGAUGGCCUUGAACCUGAGGCGUUGAUGCUCUUCAUGGCAUCUAUUAGCAUUGCUGGUGAGGCACGUGCAUUUUUCCUUUUCCUUUGUCAGUUCACCUUUGUUUUGGUGAAAACUGGUAUCAGCAGUAAGAGCGAUAGCCCAGCCAUGUUCAGCAUUGUGUCUUUCUUCUAAGUCUAUUAAUGGUGUUUUUAGAAGCACUUCCUUUGCCUUUUCUGUGGUCUGAGUGUGUACAAAUGUACAUCAUUGCAAGGUAUGGGGUUGAAGUUUCGCCAUUGAAAAGUUCCCUGAAGCUUUGAUGUUGUUUCCUAGCUUCUGUGUUUUGAGCUGCUGGUGCUUAAAAUACUCAAAUUGUCGUGAGUUGUGUAAUGAUUUGCUUUUGAAAAAGAACUAGUUAUAUGGAUAGAUUUUCUUUGAUUA